rnacentral:rRNA from 1 species
AACGAACGCUGGCGGCAUGCCUAACACAUGCAAGUCGAACGAGACCUUCGGGUCUAGUGGCGCACGGGUGCGUAACGCGUGGGAACCUGCCUUUAGGUUCGGAAUAACUCAGAGAAAUUUGAGCUAAUACCGGAUGAUGUCUUCGGACCAAAGAUUUAUCGCCUUUAGAUGGGCCCGCGUUGGAUUAGCUAGUUGGUGGGGUAAAGGCCUACCAAGGCGACGAUCCAUAGCUGGUCUGAGAGGAUGAUCAGCCACACUGGGACUGAGACACGGCCCAGACUCCUACGGGAGGCAGCAGUGGGGAAUAUUGGACAAUGGGCGAAAGCAUGAUCCAGCAAUGCCGCGUGAGUGAUGAAGGCCUUAGGGUUGUAAAGCUCUUUUACCCGAGAUGAUAAUGACAGUAUCGGGAGAAUAAGCUCCGGCUAACUCCGUG